rnacentral:lncRNA from 1 species
GCGAUACUGGAUCCUGUCAAGUUCUAAAUCGGGAGGAUUUUUAUAGUGGAACAACUAAAAGGAAUUGCUGCCUUAUGAUAUAUAACUACUACUUAUUAUAGAUUGAUCCAUCUUGCAGCAGGGAGGUGGAAGGCAGGGAGCUAUAGGGAGAAUGAGGAGCGAUCUGAGACCUGAGCAAAAGUAACCUUCUAAUUGCCUUUUCCAUGACAGCAUCAUAAGCUUCUUUAUGGCAGCUUUAUUUCACAGUGACCUGACACACUGCUGUAAUUUUCCCAGUGUCACUCAUGCAGGUUUAAAAAUGAUUGGUUUUAUGGCUUUUAUUUGGGAAUUUGUCAAGGUUUCACAUUUGUGGAAGCCUUGAAGCAGUGGCCUAAUAGUUCAUAAUUUGGUGUUUAAAGGGAGACUGGUGGGUGACCCGCUCGGGCCUGCAGGUGCCUGCACUGAUCACAUCCUUGAGCCUGGCAGGGAAAUCUCCCUAAUUCCUUUUCCGCCACAGUAAACCUUGGCUGCCAGAAAGGUCCACUCCAGGUUCCAGGAGACUCCUGGCAUCCCGAGAUGGGAGCAGAAGCCCUCUGAGUUUCCUGACCAGGUUGGUAUUUAAACCUAAUUCCCAUGAAACGGACUUCAGGUGUUAGUAAGUCAGCCCAGCUUCGGGCGGCAGAUUGUGGCCGUGAGGAUUUACGCACUCCCUGGAUGACUCACAGGCUGGAAAUGAAAAGUGCUGGUCUCCAGUCCUCCUCCCUGGCUCUCUGGAGCACAAAAGCAGACUGAAAGAAGGUUCAGGAAUCGAACGAGUUCUAGGCAAGUCCAAAGAGCUCUUCCAGCAGACCCAGGCCGAUGUGCCUUUUACCAGCUAACAUCCUCGCAUUUCAUGGCAUGGUGCUGGCAUGAUGGAAAGAUCAUCUGCCAGGUACAGCCAUUCCUGGGGCCCCAGCCUGUUUCGGGGUGAGGGAGGAGAUGCAGAGGUCAAAGAGACUCACUUACAAGGGGAUUUCAAAAAAUUCACGGAAAAUGGAACUAAAAGAUAAGUCUAUGUGAAUGCAAAGACAUUUGAAGUCCAUGCAUAAUUUUGCAUGAUAUGCAUUUCCAUGAACUUUUUGAAGACCCCUUAUAUAAGGCAAGACGCCUCAAAUGCAUUUACUCAUAUGCUGAUGUUCUGUUGUGACUUCCUUUUCAAAACUAUGUGCGAUGUUCGUUGCAUGUGACGUGUGUGUGUGUUUUGAAGAGCUGAACAAAACACUAGGAAGGAGGGGAUAUGGGACCUGUAAGUGAGAGGUUGGGGUGAACUUGGGGUCUCCACACUGGGCCUUGAGUGAGUCCUUUGGGCACCUCCCCGUGUUAGGUAGCAUUUCAGGAAGCAGCAGUCUGCGUUGGGUUUACUCCUUGGGUAAAUGUUUCAUCUGAAAUGGGCAUGUGUGGGGAUAAUGUCAGGAGUGCGGUAGAAGCUAGC